GGGAGUGGCAGACGGGUGAGUAACGCGUGGGAAUCUACCGUACCCUACGGAAUAACGCAUGGAAACGUGUGCUAAUACCGUAUACGCCCUACGGGGGAAAGAUUUAUCGGGGUAUGAUGAGCCCGCGUUGGAUUAGCUAGUUGGUGGGGUAAAGGCCUACCAAGGCGACGAUCCAUAGCUGGUCUGAGAGGAUGAUCAGCCACAUUGGGACUGAGACACGGCC
rnacentral:rRNA from 1 species